rnacentral:lncRNA from 1 species
GCUUCCCAGCAUUAACAUAGCACUUCUUUCACCGUGAGACCCCUCUGGUCCUAGGUGACUAUCUACUAACAUUCACAAAAAGAAAGUAAUGGGUGGUGGAGAGUAGGAGACAAUUUCCUGUAAGAUUUAUCAGAAUGAAUAGUAUUUUUACUCAACGGAAAAGAUAACAUUCCCUCCUUUCUAGGAAAAGGCUUUGGUAAAUUCUAAGAAUAGUGGAAUCAACUUGAUUUGAUAUGAUUUUGAAAGAUGAAUAUCCUUACCUUCCCUUGUCUGAGUGAUUUAAUGCUUUACAACCAGACUCCGUCCAUUUUCUUCAGAUAUUUGUGAGGAUUA